GCUGGGAUUACAGGCGUGAGCCACCGCGCCCGGCCAAGUAAACUCUUAAAAGCUCAUUUAUGAGGGCUGGUGUCCCUUUUAGGAUAUAUGGGUAUGUACUCUGUAAAUUUUGUUUUUAGCAGUCAGGUACUUUUAAAUUAUCUAUUUGAACAUUAACAGGGUUUUUUUUUGUUGUUCAUCUUUUAUGGCAAAUUAUUUUGACUUGGCAUUCAUAUUUGUUAUUUACUUUGUUUUCACCAGUAUAAUUCCAUGGCCUCAGUUUUGAAAUGCAAGCUAUUAAGCCCAGCUUGUUUUUAGGUUUUGUUAAUAGGGUUUUCUGUUUCAUUUGUUUUGAUUGUUUGAUAGGUUUUUUGUUGUUGUUGUUAAUUAUCCCUGACUGCUUCCCUACUGCCCAGGUAUCUUAACAACUUAAUCUGGUGGUGUUGGAUGGCUUGCCUUCUUCAGUUACGUAUAUGCCUAUGGCUUUAUACAUAUGGCACUAUCUCUAAAAUACCAGGCUUGCAGAGGUUUUCUUCUGCAUGUUCUUUAACUUUUUAACAGAAUUCUUCAUUGUGAAGAUUAUCUUUAAGAACAGUUUUUCUGAAGACCAUGUUUUCACUAAAAACUCAAUGACUUUUCUUAGUUUUUCCGUUUAGUGGGUCACCUUUAAUGUCCAUUGAAAAGAAAUAUAACUUCCAGCCUUAAACAUUUUUAUGUUUCUUAAAGAUUAUGUGUCAAAAUAAUUCAAUUUGCCAUUCCUUUUUCAUUAGGCAGAGAUGCUGCUUAAAUGUUUAAAUUAUUUUUUAAAAACUUUGCUAAUAAAAGUAAAAUCAGUGAUUGAGUCUGGAAAAGGGAAACCUCCCUGAACUUGAGGCACUUUCCCCUCGUUCAGUAAAGAGGUUAGAUGGAUGUAUUAAUAUUUUUAAACACCCUGAUCCUUUUCUUCAUUUUGCUUAUUUCAUUUUGCAGUUUCAUAUUUAUUCAGAUUUUAUUUUUAUGAUUAACUUGUUAAUCUUCUUUACCAUGCUGUGAGGUGGGUUUUUUUAUUCUUAUAUUACAGAUGAGGAAACUGACUUUAUGACAUUGGUUAAGUAGCUUAUCCAGAGUUCAGACUAAUGAGUUGUGGUAUAAAGAUUUCAAACUCAUGCAGCCUGCCUCUGUGUUGUUCCAUGCUCUUAACCACUAUUCUGUGCUGCUUCUGAUAUAACAUGGGCAUAUAGCAUGGAAAACUCUUAAUGUGUUUGGUAACCAGGAACAAUUUUUUUGUUGUGUUAGUAAAGUUAUAAAAUUAUGUAGUAAUUUUGCCUGGAUGGUUUUGGAUAUAAUAGCCAAUUCAUCACUUGUGAUUUGAUGACUCUUAGGGUCUCUAGUUUUUCUUAACAGCCUCCAAAUUGAAGUUUCAGAAUCCUUACUGCAAAAAGCACAAAAGUUUUCAUUGCCAUUUUGAUAGUGAUAUGUAGCUCGUAAAUAAUAAUUCUUACCUCUGUGUUAGAUAAAACAUCCAGUAAAACAGCAUCAAGUUUAGCUUUGAUAGAAGGGAACAAUUAGAGUUGGUGUAGAGACAGACCAGUUAGGAUGAGGGCAUGAAAUACAGCAGAAGCAGUAGGAAGAGAAGAGAGACUGAGGAUCUUGAAUUAGGGUCUAGAUGAAAAUUUAGGAUGAUUCCUAGGUUUGGGAAUGGAGGGAGAGCUUAAACAAGAUAGAGAAUAUAGACACAGAUUUUGGAGGAAAUGAUUUUCUCAAGGGACUGCUGAGUCCAAGGAAUGUUUACAAAUCCUCAAGAAGUACUCCAGGCUAUUUGUAAGAUCUGAGGCUCAUAGGCCUUUUCUGGCUCUCAGGAUUUAGAGUCGUAAUAGGCAGUAAUGUAAAUUCACUAGCUAACUUUGAGGUUGCAACAUUCAUAGCACUCUGAACUUUGAGGGCAUCUUGUUUUAAUUCAAAAAACUGGUAAUCCCUGCUUUUGAUUGUGAUGUAAGUAGCAGUACACAAGCAUGGGAAUAAGUAAAUCCAAUAAAGGAGUAUUUAGGCUCACCUGCUAAAUACUCAGUGUGCCACCCAAACCAUCUGUAAUGGGUCCCCUUAUUGAAAACAUUCUUUUUCCAGAAUGGGCAAGGAAGGCUGGAUGGGCAAAAGCAAAAUAAAUGUACCACAGACCCUUGAUUCUGUUAGUAUCAGUGAUAAAACAUGAUUGAUAAAACUAGGCAUGAUACAUUCUUAAGGUACAGAAAAAUGUGGAAAUUGUGUCAAGAAAAUUCACAAAUUUUAAAUGGUUCUUUAGGCUGAUAGUAAUAAAUGGGAUCAUUAUAAUUUUAUGUAAAACCUUCAAAGGCUUCCUACUAAAGAAAGCUGAAUUCCAGUAACAGAUUGAGCCCAGACUACUCAGUUCAUAUUUGAGGCCAACUUAGACUAUUUUUGAUGCCUUAAAGAUUCCUUCAAGUCCCCUUUCUCUUUCUACCAUACCCCCAGUAAAGCUACUUAAAAUCCUCUGUAGGAAAGAGCUGAGUAAUUGGGGGCAGAGAUGGAGGACAAAUUUAAGGGAACAGAAAGCCAUUGGGAAGACAAAUGAAAGCCAGAAUCUGAAGAUAAUUUUAAAACCUUCAGGGAAAGUAGGUGUCUAAUCACAGGACUUAAUUCACUUGAGUAGAAAUUUGUAAUUUAGCCAUAGGAAUUUAGGAAGUGUUAGUUACAAGAGGUAACUUGAAGCUGUGGACAUGAUGAUAGCUUUUGUUGCAUAAUUAGAAUGUGCCAAACACUUUGCUAAGUGCUUAUGAUAGCUUUUCUCUUCAGAACAUCACCAUGAUUAUUUACAGUAUAACCUGUAUUUUACAGAUGGAGAAAUGUAGGCAAAGGAAAGGGGCAUAACUUGCCUCCAGGGUCACAUAGAUAGCAAAUGAUGAAAUUUAAUUUUAAAAUUAGAAACUGAUUCCAAAGUCCUUACACUCUUAACCAUGAAACUGAAGACAUCUAAGUCACCACGCAAAACCCAGAAUCUAAAUGGCCAUUUAUUAGUGCUUAUUCCUUUAUUUCCUAAUAUUAAUUAAAUGACUUAAUUACCAUGAGAAGAUAAUGUGCUUUCAGUUUUCGCAGUAGUUAGUUCAGCCAUUGAUUUUCUUACUAAGAACCUCUAAAAGGCCAAUGGGCAGUUGACAAAAAUUAGGGAUGGAUUCUGCAGCUGUAAGACCAAGUGAAAGUAAAAGGCCCAUGGCGGUAAAUUUGUCCCUUGCAGGCAGUUUGUUCUAAAUGCUUGUGCCUAGAAAUAAACUUAGCCUUAUUAUCAUCUGGACUCUGAGCAAUUUUUGCAUCUCAGUAUUCUUAGAUGUGGAUGAUUAAAAGGCCACGUAUGAAGGCAGCUAACAUAAGACACUUUGUGGGAGUGAGAUAAUUCAUUAAAAUCAAAUAUUAGUGUAUUAGGCAAACAAAUUCAAUCAUUUCAGUUAUGUAAAGCUAGCUGGGUUCUCAGUUUUAGCAAGUUAGGGAAGAUAUCACAUUACAGGAGAAAGACAAUCUAAAAGUUUUUGAAGUUUUAAUGGAUUUAACCACUUGUAAAAUGUUAUAAAUUGUAGGACACUUCUCCCAGAGAGAUCCUCUAGCAUACAUGGAUGAUUUACUUUUCAUAUUUAUGAUUUGGCAGGAAAGUUUGAGUUCAUUUGAAGUUAGGCUUUUUAAUAGUUUUUCUCCUCCCAGUGAAUUUUUCUGAGUUGAUAGGUGUAAAAUUUAUAGAUUUUAUUGAUAAUAAAAGUUUGUAAGCAUCUUUAAUGUAGCGAUUCCAUUGCUUAUUUUUUAUUCAGCACUCAGGUCACUUCCUAUGUGCUGGAGAUAAUUAAAGACUCCACUUCCAAGAAAGGAUACAACAAGGAAAAUAAGAGGUUGUUAAAUAAAAAUUAUGCCAAAGAUAAGCCUGUAGAAAGCUUCUGUGGUGCGUAUUUGGUAGAUUUUAUGGAUGGAUUUCGUGAAGGAUAAAUAGCAGAGUCCUGAGGGGGGAAAAAAGGAUAGAAGUGGCCAAAUACAAGAGAGGAAAUGGGAGAAAGAAUAGGAUAUGAAGAAGCCUGGCAUUGAGAGGUGGUAUUGGCCUGUUAAGAAAACUUGUUUGCCUAGCCCCUAAGUUCUAGUCUCACUCAGUAUUGGGUUUAGGGCUCCUCUAGAUUCUAGUACAUCAUGAUAGAUCAUGCAGUCAGUAAAAGUCCUGCUGAUUUUCCCCAGUAAAGUGCUUUAGUCCACACAAAGCCUGAUCUUUAAUCCAUGCCUAGAAUUGGCAAAUGAUGCCAGGAAAGAAAACAGUUGGUAGUCUCAGCUAUGUAGAAAAGACAAAGACUUUUAGUACAUCUAGUCUUAAGCGCUUCCACAGCUCUUUCGUAUCUGUAAUGUAUUUUGCAUUUGAUCCAUUUUUUCCUAGUUACUGCACCUGGGAGCGACUGCCAGUACUACCACAUCAUUUCGGUAGUGGAGGUCCCCAUUGAAGGUUUUUUUCAUAGCACAUAGCAUGAUCACGUCUAGGAAGAUCGUUCUGGCUGUAGAUAGUAUAAUUAUCUACUAAUACAAAGGGGGAAAGGACGUGAGAUGAUGUGAAAGGAAGUUUUGCAUCAUUUACUUGAAAGAUACUGUUCUUCUGAAUUUAAUCACAUUGGGGAUUGGAAAAAGUAGAUGAAUAAAAAUUAAAAAGAAAAAAACAAAUGAGUUCAUGAAGUUAAGCAAUUAAAGAAAAAGACAAAUCUAAUACAGUACUGUAAUUAUUUCAAAGGUUACUAUUUUACCCUAAACUCAUUUCUAUACUUGAAAGUUCAAGGAUCGAUUGAUAUUUUUGAAAUUCUGAACUAAAUGGAAAUAUUAAGAUGGCUCAUGUGUGCAUAUAUAAAUGUUAUUUGUAUCCUCAGAAUAAACUAAUAAAUUUCAAGGGUACAAAAUAGGAUUACUAUUUGUGAACUGUAUUGUAUCCCAGAACUCUGUACUUUUGUCUGUUCAAAAUGAAAACAGUAGUUAUUAUAUUAUUUUAACCCUUAUAAAAGGGAAUAUGAUGUAAAAAAUUUUAGCAAUUCAGUACAGAGUACAAGUCACAUAAAAGUCUACCACCGAAAUGCAAGCACUAUUUGUAUUUUGUUUGAUAUUCAUAUAUUUAGUUUUAUCACUUUUUUUAACCAGUAAGUCAUGGACAACUUACUAUAUAAGUGAAAAAUGUAUAUAUGAUCAUUGUAUGAUCAUUUUUAUAUUAUACUAUAAUCAAUUCUCCAUUGAUAUUUAGCUUGUGAUUUUUUUUUUUUACUAUUUUUUACUGUGAUAAAAAAUGCUGUGGUAAACACCUUUGUGUCACAUACAUUGUCAUUCUGUCCAGUUUUCUCUAUAGAAACCAAUUUUUAGAAUUUCUUGGUUAAAGUAUAUACAUUUCACGUGCUUUUUUACUAGUUUUUAUAUUAGACAACUUCUGAUUAAACAUUUAGUUUAAAUGAUUAAAAGUAUGGCAUUACAAUAAGAAUUUAUGGCUUAUUUGAUUUUAAAAGUAGGUCUUAAAACAGGCAAUAUACUGUGACAAGCAAAAUAUUUCCAUGUCAUUAUUUCGUAAGUAUCCUUAAGAGGAACAGUAUCUCUCUCAGGACUUGGACCAAGGAAUGAGAUCAAAGGGGAAUAAUGAUUAGCAGCUUAAUUCAGCUGAUCUCAAAUGCUUAGGGGAAAAGUUUUUUUAAAAAGUUCAAACAUAUGCCCUAUUUAACAUGUGAUAACACAUAUUCUAUAUUAAAUAUCCUGAAUUGAUUAUAGUGCAUGCCACACAAUCACUUGUUCUGUUGCUAACAAUCAGAUAUUGAUUAAAAAUGAUUAAAAAAAACAAGAAUUAAAGGAAAAAUUAAAUUGCAAUAAUUACUAUUUUACUCCAAACUCAUAUUUCAGACCAAAUAUGCUGUUCUGGCAGCUCGCAUUUGUCUUCAGGAAAACUACCAGUAGGAAGAACACCCAAGACAUUUCUAAACCUUUGUGCUUUGUCUCCUUUAGAAAUGAUAGAGUUGGAGGGAACUGAUGCCCAGAGAUACGUAGUGAUCUACUCAGUUGGGUAGUAGAUAGUAUGAUUCAUGGGUCUUAAUGCAGUAUAUUUUCUACAACACAGUGCUUCAAGGCAAAAGUUAAAGUGUUAUACUUUGGUAGUGUAGCGUGGUAGUAAAGUUAACUCCCUUUUACAAAAGUCUUAAUUGUGUAUAUUUAUACUUCAUAAAUAGCACACCUUAUUGCCUCUUUAAGCAGAAGGAAUGGAACAUAUUUAAAAGUUACCUUGAUGACAGAGUCAUUGCUAUACUUGCAACUUAUUUUAUUGUGGGGGAUCAGUGAAAUACCCUCUAGUAAUACUGAGAUGUAUAGAAAAUGCCCCUAAACUAAAUGCCCCCACUGUUUUAAGUUAAACUGUAUUGUUGGCCUGGGAGCAAGGGUAAUGGGUAGUUUUUCCUUGUAGUUAAGCUUUGAGCUGUCAUUUCUUAUUUUAGUUAUUGUACUUGCCUAUGAAGGCUCUUCUAAUUUUUAAUUCUUAACUCGUUUUGGUGAAGUAGAUGAACAACCAAGUUUAUUGAAGCUUUAAUCAUAGUUGAACAUGUAAUUGAGUCACUGGGAUCUGCAUAAAAGUUUGCAGAUUCUGAUAUACAGUCUUUAUAGGAGUUAGAAUAUGAAGAUUGUAGUAGCUAUUUUCAUCACCCAUCAGACUUAUAUGUUUAUUCAGUAGAGCUGAAAUUAUUAAAUGUAUGAAUAUUACUGGCUUUUUCCUGACCAUUCACACUUCAUGGUGAUUUCACAAGAGAAGGUAUAUGAUUCUGGUUUCCUUGCAGACUUGUUUUUUAUAAUCACGUUUAUUGAGGCUUAAUUUUCAUACAAUAAAUUUUAUAUAUAUUUUAAGUUUACAAUUUGCCACUCAGAUCAAGAUACGGAAAAUUCUCAUCUAUUGGAGAAAGUUUCCUCAUACUUCUUUGCAGCCAUCCUCCCCAACCUGCCACUUGGCCCAGGCAAUCACUAAUCUAAUUUUUAACACUACAGAUUAGUUUGCCACUUCAUCUAAAUAGAAACAUAUUUUAUGUAGUUGUUUGUCUGGCUUUUUUCCUUCAACAAUGUCUGCCAAUAAUAUUGCAUUUAUUGAAAGUUACUUCAUUUUUAUUGCUGAGUAGUAAGUAGUCUAUUGUGUAAUGGAUACCACAGUUUAUACAUUCGUCUGUGGAUGGACAUUUGGGGUUUUUACGCUUUUAAGUUGCAAUGAACAUGCAUACAAGUAUUGCUGUGAUCAUUGUUUUUCCUUCUCUUGAAUAAAUAACUAGAAGUGGAAUUCUGGAGUCCUAAAGUAAAAGUGUAUGUUUAACUUUAUAGGAAACUGCCAAACUGUUUUCAAAAGUGAUUUUACCAUUUUACAUUCCCACACUCACAAUGUCUGAGAAUUCAUGUUCCUUGCUAUAAUUUAGGGAAUUUUCUUUUACUUUCUGCCACACAGGAGUUUUUUACUUCAUUAGAUUAACACUUUGCUAAUAUAAUUAUUAACUUUUAAAGAGCAAAAAAAAAAGGCUUUGCAGAUGAAAAGACCAAAGCCUAUAAUCAAAACAUGACAUGAAAAGAGUUUAGAACACCCUGGCUUCAUAAGUUAUCAGAAAGGUGAAUUUUAUCCUCAGACUUUUAGCAACACCUUUAAUGGCUAGCCACUUGAGACCUUCUAUAAUACUUCUUUCAGAGUUCCUGCUGCUGCUUGAAUUGUAAAAGCUGCAAUAGAAAUAUGUUUCUUUACUUCUUUCCAGGCCAAACGAGAGUUGGCUUUAUUUUCAAUAUCAAAGAUAGCAUCAUAGAUUCCAGGAAAUGAUUCUCCAGCAUAUUUGUUGUGGCUACUUGGAGCAAAUAUGAUGUGCCUAAAAGGAAGAAAACAAGGCAAAUUGAACUAAAGUGUAUACAUGCAUUUUGCAUGCUUUUUGUUUAGACCACAUGAUGUUUCCUUGUGAUACUCACUUUUGUUCCUAUAAUAAGAAGACAGUUGAUCUGAGAUACUUAUGCGAAUCAUAAUUUCAAGCCAGGAAAGAAGCUAACAAUAUGCAUUCGCUAAGACAUAUCUCAGGAAUCAUAUACCAUGUUGCGAACCCAAAGCAGAUGGAAGAAAGCAGGUUCUUUUAAGUUGUGCAGAAUAAUUGCUCAGCGUCCCGUAAGCAUCCACAAAUAUGGUGAUAACAUGUAAGUUUAUGGAUGUUUUUAGUAAGAGGAGAUUGAGAAAGAUAAUUUAUUUUUGUGUUGCCUUUUAAAAAUAGAUUAAACAAGAAUGACAGUUGUUCCCAAUACUUUUUAGACAUUAAAAAACAAGUAAUUAAAGAAGCCUGUAUUUCAAAGUGUUACAAAUGGCAAGGAUAAUGACGUCCAUUCCACAAAGGUAAGACAGUUAUAUGUGGGUUGCCCGCAAAGACACUCAACUUUUGAUCUAAAAAGAAAGUUUUAUAGUUGCUUUUCUACUUCAACAUAAGUAGCUCAAGGGAUCAAGCUACUUUCCGCAAUAAUGACGUAGAAUUUUGCUUUCCAGAAAGGGAUGUAUUUUAUUAAUACAUCAGGAAUUAGGUCCAACAGUCAAACCCCAAAGCUUAUUCUAGAGUAAAUCUGUAUGAAGCAAUAUAGAGCUCCAUAUAAGUCAGUAUUAAUGAUUAAUGAUUAAUGACAAAUCUAUAACACUCAUCAUUCAGAUUUACCAAAGUACAUCAGGAUUUAUUAUCUUGGCUUUUAAAUCUUAAUAUGGCCUCAGAUGGAUUUUUUUAAAAUUAAAAUCAGUUUAUGUGCUAAGUUGUUUAUAAGCAUUGGUAUCCUGACCUGUAUAUGAGUCAAGAAAUUAGAGAUGCAAGUCAUAGAUAUUCCUUAGUAUACUUACCCUCUUCUGGAGAAUUGUAAAGGAAGAAUAUAGCAAAAAAAAUUUGAUAUAGGAAGCGAAUAACCUUUGAAUCAUUGAUAUGGCAUUUAAUAUCUCAGUGACCUUUGGCAAAUUGCCUAAGUUGUCUAAAUUUGUCCCAGAUUUGUAAAAUAAUUGAAAUAAUGUAGACUCUGCUUAGAGUAGUGACUGAGCAGGUUGUAGACUGAGACUGCCUGUUUUUUAAAAAUCAGAAUACUAGCAUAUUUACUAUCAACAGAAUACUAUCAACUAUCAGCCUUGUGGCCUUGCACUGGUUAUUUAACCUCCCUGUGCCUGUUAUCUUAAAAAUGAUGGUGAUAAAAGUACUGUUCUAAAAGAAUUGUGAGAAUCAAAUGUUGGAUGAAAAGCAUAGCUUGACAUUUAAUAGGUGUUCAGUAAAUAUUAGCUAUUCUGAAACUAAAUCCUUUCCCUAAUUUUCUCAGAUAAGAAGCAGGCAGCAAGCUAAAAGAAAUGAUCAGACAAUUGGUAAUGCUUAAGCAACUCAAAUACCCUUUUAUGAAAUGGUGGACUCAAAUAGCUAUUCUAGUCCCAUAAGAAUUCAAACUCUGGUCUAGUUCUCAAGGUUUCAAGUAUAUGAUGAUUUAAUUACCCUCCACAAUGGACAUUUCUGAAUUUUUAAGAGGCAUCAAGAACUACUGAGCAGACUAGAGAAUAUGGUCAACACUUCAUAGUCUUUUUUCCUCAACCUUCCCCUCAGUACAUAGUAAGUAUUCACUGAUGAGUUGUGAUAAUGCAAAAUUUCUUUUUUUUUUUUGAGAUAGAGUCUCGUUCUGUCGGCCCAGGCUGGAGUGCAGUGGCAUGAUCUCGGCUCACUGCAACCUCCACCUCCUGGGCUCAAGCAAUUCUCCUGCCUCAGCCUCCCGAGUAGCUGGAAUUACAGGUGCCUACCACCACGCCUGGCUAAUUUUUGUAUUUUUAGUAGAGAUGGGGUUUCACCAUGUUGGCCAGGCUGGUCUUAAACUCCUGACCUCAGGUAAUCCACCCGCCUUAACCUCCCAAAGUGCUGGGAUUACAGGCGUGAGCCACCAUGCCCGGCCACAAAUGUUUCUAGAAUUUCAUAAUUAAAUGCUUUGCAGCUUUUAAAGACUUUUACAGUAUUUCACUUGAUGUUUGCAAAAAAGGAAGCUUUAUUUAAUCCUUUUUAGAUUCCAUUACAGAGUGUGUUCAUUUUAUAUUGCUGCUGUGCAAAUUACCACCAACUUAGUGGCUUAAAAAAAUUUAUUAUCUUACAGUUGGUCUGACAUAAGUCUCACCAAGCUAAAAUCAAGGUAUGAUCAGGGUCACAUUCCUUCCUGGAGGCACUAGAGGAGAAUCCUUUUCCUUGCUUUUCUAGCUUCUAGAGGCCUACCACAUUCCUCCACCAUCAAAAUCCGCAACUGCAUUUUAGAUGAGUCUUUUCGCAAUGGCAUCACCCUAACUUUCUCUCCUGCCUGCCUCUUACAGGAAGACUUUUAAGGACCCUUGUGACUGCAUCAUUGGGACCACCAGUAUAAUUCAGAAUACUGUCCCUAUUUUAACUCAGCUGAUUAGUGUGACUCAUCCAUCUGCCACCUUAAUUCCUCUUUGUCAUGUAACCUAACAUAUUCAAAGGUUCUGGGGUUAGAAAAUAGAGAUCUUUGGGAGGCCAUUAUUAUGCUUACCACACAGAGCAAUUAAUUUUUGUGGAACUUUCAUUAGGGAAAAAACGAGGAGUAAUAGAAUAUAGAAAAUGAGCUCAGUGGUAGAUAAGGAUUUAUUACUUAUUUGCCUUUGUUGUGAUAGUUACAAUAUAUUACCCACAACUCAAAAAUAAUUAAGUUUGCAAAAUUUAUCAAGCAUGCUGCUAUGGUCUGAAUGUGUUCAUUCCCCAAAUUCGUAUGUUGAAACUUAAUUUCUAGUGUGACAGUAUUAAGGGAUUAGAGCCCUUAUAAAAGAGAAUGAAGAAAGCUAGCUAGCCCUUCCAUCUGUUCUGCCAACUGAGGACGCCCUGAGAAAAAUACCAUAUAUGGGACAGGUGCUCAUAAAACAUUGAAUUGGUUGACACUGAUCUUGUACUUCCCAGCCCCUAGAACUGUGAGGAAUAAAUUUCUGUUUUUUAUAAAUUACCCAGUCUCAGGUAUUUUGAUAUAGCAGCAGGAAUGGACUAAGACACGUUUUUUAUUCACAAUAAACAUUUAGUUAUACUUCUGAAUUUUAAGAAGAAUGUUUUAUAUGUUCCACAUUAACAUUUUAUUUUAAAAUAUGUACAAUGUUUUCUGAUUUAUUCAUUACUGAAUCUCAACUGUUAAAUCAAGUUUAACUUAAAGCUGCCUCCUUAAAUAUUUUAAGUUCAGCCUAAAGGUUUCUCUGUACAUAGUGAACUAUAACCUAAAUGGAGUUGUCAACAGACUGAGUCUACUCUUGUGCCGAUCACCAAGUUUUGGCCAAUUAAAGGGGUCAGUUCAAACUGUUCAAAUAAGGUAAAUUCUGUGCUGUAACCAGUCUGGCUGUUUCUGUUACUCAUUUCCGUUUUCUGUAUGUCACUUUCCUUUUUCUGUCUGUAACUCUUCAUCCAUCACGUGGCUGCACUGGAGUCUCUCUGAGUCUAUCAUUCUUUGCUCAAUUAAAGUCUGUUAAAUAUAAUUUGGCUAAUGUUUUUGUUUUAACAAUACAUACAUAUGUAAUGUACAUAUAUAUAUAAUGGCUAUACAUACAUACAUCAGAUUAGUCUAAUUUUCUUAGUCUAUCAAUUCUACAUGGUAGAACAAUUUUAUUACACUACAGAUUUGGUAAUCUCUCCAUUCUUGAGGUUCAUAAAAUAGCAGAUCUUAAAAAUGUCAUUGAUCCAUUAUACGUACUGAAAGUUUUUACUCUUAGAGGUUU
rnacentral:lncRNA from 10 species